CCACCCUCUCCCUCCUUCCCUUCCAUCUCUCUCUCCCUCCUUCCCUUCCAUCUCUCUCUCCCUCCUUCCCUUCCAUCUCUCUCUUCCUCCUUUCCUUCAUCCAGCUCUAUCCUUCCAUCCCUCCAUCUCUUGUUUAAUAACUGACGUUGCCUUAGGUCUAUAUUGAAGUUACAAACCAAAUAAAAGGAGACGUCCAUUUUUAACAACAAUUUUUAAACAAAAAAAAAUGAUCCUGUUGUUGUUUAGGAAGAGGUCAUCUAGAGGUCAUCUAGAGGUCAUCUAGACCUCUUUACGUUCUUUUAGAUGUGAAUAUCUAUUCUAGGUCAAUUAUUACUGUGUGUACUAUUAUAAUACCUGGUGCGCAUCCCAAAUGGAACCCUGUUCCCUAUAUAUAGGGAAUAGGGUGCCAGCCCUGGUCUAAAGUAGUGCCCUAUAUAGGGAAUAGGGUGCCAGCCCUGGUCUAAAGUAGUGCCCUAUAUAGGGAAUAGGGUGCCAGCCCUGGUCUAUAGUAGUGCCCUAUAUAGGGAAUAGGGUGCCAGCCCUGCUCUAUAGUAGUGCCCUAUAUAGGGAAUAGGGUGCCAGCCCUGGUCUAUAGUAGUGCCCUAUAUAGGGAAUAGGGUGCCAGCCCUGGUCUAUAGUAGUGCCCUAUAUAGGGAAUAGGGUGCCAGCCCUGGUCUAUAGUAGUGCCCUAUAUAGGGAAUAGGGUGCCAUUUGAGAAGCGGCCCCUGAUAACCUGUUGUUGCGUGUCAGACCUUUUUCUUUUGUUACUGUACGACAACUUUGACUGUUGAAAUGCUGUUUUAGAAGUGAUGUGUUUUUAAUAAGAAACUGAAGAACGAAAAUGUAGCGACAGGGUUUUUGUUUUACCACAAUGCUGUUACACUUUUAUGCAACUUUAAUAAACAAAAUAUGUUAAAAGGGGGUGUGUUCAUGUGGUGGGUGUGACAACACUGACACUGGGAAUGGUUUUAACACCACCUGCAGGAUGUUUGUCACUAUGUAACUACUGUAGCUAAUGCAUCAAUACUGUCUUCACAAUCCCAGGGUGUUAGGGAUUGUGUUUCUGUGUCCCAAAUAGCUUAUUCCCCCCCCAAGGACAAAUUCCACUGCAAAUGCCAAUAGAAUAGAAUGGGGCUAUAGUGGCAUCUUCAGCUCUCUGGAUCUUUUCUAAUGUACUGUAUACUGAACCAAACUAUAAACUCAACAUGUAAAGUGAUGGUUUCAUCAACUGAAAUAUAAAAUCCCCAAAAUGUUCCAUACAUACAAAAUGCUUAUUUUUCUAAUUUGGUGCACAAAUUUGUUUACAUCCCCUGUUGGUGAGUAAUUUCUCCUUUGUUAAGAUAAUCCAUCCACCUCACAGCUUUGGUAUAUGAAGAAGCUGAUUAAACAGCUUAUUGCUGGCGUCAAUAAAAG
rnacentral:lncRNA from 1 species